AUCACCCAGACACUGUGAAAGUUUUGAGGUUAUUCAAAGUCCAAGUUUGCUUUGCUGCCAUUUGUGGAUGCAUGUCAAUGUCAUCUUCUUCGAAACCAAUCAUCAAUUCUAUUUGAAUUGGAUCCUUCUGCUGCUCUUCCUUCUAAUUUUGAGAGAGAUUAUUCCACAAGCUAUAUGCUCAAGAUAUGGGCUUUCUGUUGCUUCGAAUUUUGUUUGGCUUGUUGGCAUUCUGAUGAUCAUCUGCUAUCCAAUCGCCUACCCAAUUAGAAAAGUUCUUGAUCUUGUACUUGGACAUGGAAAUGAUUUGUUCAGGCGAGCACAGUUGAAAGCCCUCAUCUCUAUUCACGACCUUCAGGCUGGAAAGGGAGGUGAACUAACACAUGAUAAGACAACGAUUAUCAGUGGAGCGCUAGAUUUAACUGAAAAGACUGCCAAGGAGGCUAUAACACCUAUUGAAUCAAGGUUGUGCUUGGAUGUUGAUUCAAAGUUAGACUGCGAAGCAAUUGGGAAAAUUCUUGCACAUGUUAGAAUGUGUUGCUGAGCUUGUAGGAAGGGUACUUUAUCUGAAGGAGACAAGAUCACCUUAGAAACUGCAAAGCUGUUGAGAGAGAAUUCUCUCGCACAGGAUGCAUUUAAGUUCCUACUCUAAUCUUUCUUUGAUCCAUAUAUACUUUUCAUUUUGGUUGGGACUGGUAGUCACUAAUGAUCAUUCACCUGUUGUAAGGGUGGACAAAUAUGAUAACUUCUACCUUUUCUACAAGUCUGUUUGGAUGAUGCGGAAGAUCAUCCAUUUCUUCAAUUUAGCAAAUCAGCUCUAACAAAUUUGAGGAUCAUACUGAAGGCGAACAACCUCUUGUUGCAAAAUUUAGAAGCUACAUGAAGACUUGACAAAUGGUUUCCAUGCCUUGAGGAUGAAUCGAUGAUUGGACUUGAUACUUCUUUUGGAUGGUUCGUGUUGCUGUUAUAAAUUGCAUGGUGAUGACAAUUGGAGUUACUGUAGUUUCUGUUGUGCAUGAGGAAGUGUUAGGUUAUUGUGACGCCAUUUUUGCUUUGCUUAUGUGGCGGUUGCUCUAGUUUGGAUGUGUAGUUACAACUUCCUGUCAUUCCCUUCAUGUUUUUACUGGAGACUAGAUUCUAUUCCUCAUGUAUUUAAGCAAUAAGGUAUUCAAGAUUUUUCAUUUUUGAUGGUUCUUAGUUGCCUCUA